AACAGGAUUAGAUACCCUGGUAGUCCACGCCGUAAACGAUGUCAACUAGUUGUUCGUGUCAUUAAGACGUGAGUAACGCAGCUAACGCACUAAGUUGACCGCCUGGGGAGUACGGCCGCAAGGUUAAAACUCAAAUGAAUUGACGGGGGCCCGCACAAGCGGUGGAGCAUGUGGUUUAAUUCGAUGCAACGCGAAGAACCUUACCAUCCCUUGACAUCCAGUGAAUUUUUCAGAGAUGAAUUAGUGCCUUCGGGAACACUGAGACAGGUGCUGCAUGGCUGUCGUCAGCUCGUGUUGUGAGAUGUUGGGUUAAGUCCCGCAACGAGCGCAACCCUUAUCCUUAGUUGCCAGCACGUAAAGGUGGGAACUCUGGGGAGACUGCCGGUGAUAAACCGGAGGAAGGUGGGGACGACGUCAAGUCAUCAUGGCCCUUACGGGAUGGGCUACACACGUGCUACAAUGGCGCAUACAAAGGGCAGCAAGCCAGCGAUGGUUAGCGAAUCUCAUAAAGUGCGUCGUAGUCCGGAUCGGAGUCUGCAACUCGACUCCGUGAAGUCGGAAUCGCUAGUAAUCGUGAAUCAGAAUGCCACGGUGAAUACGUUCCCGGGCCUUGUACACACCGCCCGUCACACCAUGGGAGUGGGCUGCACCAGAAGUGGUUAGUUUAACCUUCGGGAGAACGAUCACCACGGUGUGGUUCAUGACUGGGGUGAAGUCGUAACAAGGUAACC
rnacentral:rRNA from 1 species